UGCGUAGGUGGGCUAGUAAGUCAGUGGUGAAAUCUCCGGGCUUAACCCGGAAACUGCCAUUGAUACUAUUAGUCUUGAAUACCAUGGAGGUGAGCGGAAUAUGUCAUGUAGCGGUGAAAUGCUUAGAUAUGACAUAGAACACCAAUUGCGAAGGCAGCUCGCUACGCGGUUAUUGACACUGAGGCACGAAAGCGUGGGGAUCAAACA
rnacentral:rRNA from 1 species